rnacentral:rRNA from 1 species
GGUGAGUAACGCGUGGGUAACCUGCCUCAUACAGGGGGAUAACAGUUAGAAAUGACUGCUAAUACCGCAUAAGCGCACAGUGCUGCAUGGCACAGUGUGAAAAACUCCGGUGGUGUGAGAUGGACCCGCGUCUGAUUAGCCAGUUGGCGGGGUAACGGCCCACCAAAGCGACGAUCAGUAGCCGGCCUGAGAGGGUGAACGGCCACAUUGGGACUGAGACACGGCCCAAACUCCUACGGGAGGCAGCAUG